UCAGGAUGAACGCUGGCGGCGUGCCUAACACAUGCAAGUCGAGCGGAGAUAGUUGAAGCCUAGCGAUGACUAUCUUAGCGGCGGAUGGGUGAGUAACACGUGGGUUACCUGCCCUGUACUGGGGAAUAACAGCUGGAAACGGCUGUUAAUGCCGCAUAUGCGCACGGAGCCGCAUGGCCCUGGGCGGAAAGAUUUAUCGGUACAGGAUGGGCCCGCGCCGGAUUAACUAGUUGGCGGGGUAACAGCCCACCAAGGUGAUGAUCCGUAGCCGACCUGAGAGGGUGACCGGCCACAUUGGGACUGAGACACGGCCCAAACUCCUACGGGAGGCAGCAGUGGGGGAUAUUGCACAAUGGGGGAAACCCUGAUGCAGCGACGCCGCGUGAAGGAUGACGUAUUUCGGUAUGUAAACUUCUAUCAGCGGGGAAGAAGAUGACGGUACCCGACUAAGAAGCCCCGGCUAACUACGUGCCAGCAGCCGC
rnacentral:rRNA from 1 species